GCGCAAGGUGGACCGGAUGUGAGGGCGCGGCUGCAGGGCCGGCUGGAAGGUGUGUCUCGGAGUAUUUCAAAACUGCACAUUCUAAAAGAGAAACAAGAGUGGCAGGGAUAAUUGGUCUCUGAAAGAUUACUAUAAACUGGACAAAAUACAAAAGCACAGAGAUUUUGGAGAGGAGUCAACACUCAAGAAAAAAAGGGACAUCAGGGUAAGUUAUUCAUUUUCAAAGCUUUCUGAAUUAAGAGAAGCCUCAGUCAGCACUGCAUGGAGUAACUAAAACAGAGAGAAUGUUUGCUGUCUUUCUGGUGUAAAGCACCACAGGAUAAAGUUGAAGGAAACCCCAGGUGCUAUAGAGGGGAGAGUGGCAUCUCAGGAAGGAGAGGUCACAGAGGGAGUACUCUUAAUUCUGUGUACAAACUCUGGCCAAAUCUC